rnacentral:ncRNA from 1 species
CAAAGGCUUGGUCCUGACUUUACUAUCAAUUCUAAUCCAAUUUAUACAUGCAAGUAUCCGCAUCCCCGUGAGAAUGCCCUCAAUCCUCCGCCCGAGAACGAGGAGCAGGCAUCAGGCACAAUUACUUUAGCCCAAGACGCCUUGCUACGCCACACCCCCAAGGGAAUUCAGCAGUAAUAGAUAUUAAGCCAUAAGUGAAAACUCGACUUAGUUAGGAUUAAAAGGGCCGGUAAAAUUCGUGCCAGCCACCGCGGUUAUACGAAAGACCCAAGUUGAUAGAUACGGCGUAAAGGGUGGUUAAGGUAUAUAAAAUAAUAAAGCCAAAGACCCUCUAAGCUGUCAUACGCAUUCCGAGGACACGAAAAUCUCUGACGAAAGUAGCUUUAAACAAUCUACACCUGACCCCACGAAAGCUAAGAAACAAACUGGGAUUAGAUACCCCACUAUGCUUAGCCUUAAACCCCGACAUACAUUUUACACAAACAUCCGCCAGGGUACUACGAGCACAGCUUAAAACCCAAAGGACUUGGCGGUGUCUCAGACCCACCUAGAGGAGCCUGUUCUAGAACCGAUAACCCCCGUUAAACCUCACCACUUCUUGUUUUCCCCGCCUAUAUACCGCCGUCGUCAGCUUACCCUGUGAAGGCCCAACAGUAAGCAAAACGGGUACACCCAAAAACGUCAGGUCGAGGUGUAGCAUACGAAGUGGGAAGAAAUGGGCUACAUUUUCUGUCAAACAGAAUAUUAACGAAUAGCACUCUGAAAACUAAUGCUUAAAGGUGGAUUUAGUAGUAAAAAGAAAAUAGAGCGUUCUUUUGAACUAGGCUCUGAGACGCGCACACACCGCCCGUCACUCUCCCCCUCUACCCACACUACAUACGAUAUUACUAAUAAUACAAACAAUAACUCGGGGAGGCAAGUCGUAACAUGGUAAGUGUACCGGAAGGUGCACUUGGAACAAU